UAUUUUUACUGCACAAUUAAUAAAAUAUGCAAAAAACGGCAUAAAGAAAUUAAUAAGAUGAUUUUACUAAAGAUUUUAUUGAAGAUGUUCAAUUGCAAUAUAAUUCAUUUCUCAGACCUAUUUGCCAUCUAUUAUUAUAUUAGAAUUAAUUAGUAAAUCGUAGAUUGAACUACAAAAAAUGUUUUUGAUGUUAAAUCGCAUCAAAAUGGACGGAAACCUUAUAACGAAAUUAUGAGUGAAUAAUAUUAAGACCUAUGCUGGAUGUAUUCAUCGUCGUCAAAUACGAUUGAUUGAAUUAGAAGUAUCAACUGUUUAUUGUUAUUAAAUAAAGUUGUUAUUAUACUCUAAUCCAAUUUUAUCCCCACACAGAAACACAAAAAUAAUUAUUGGCGUUAUUAUCAAUAAUAUUAAUUCCAAUGUAAUAAUUAUUAGAAUUAUUAUUGUUACAACCGAUGUAUUAUCGAUUGCUCUGUAUCGAAAACCAGCCGAAGACGUUGAUGGAAUAUAUGCAGCUUGAAUGAAUCGGACGUCAUGCGGAUGUGAUCGGCACUUAGAUUUUUCUACGAUUAGAGAUAAGAAUAUAUCGAUUAAAUGUAAUUAAAUACGUGAAAACGUAAUGAGGUGCACGGUUUUAUAUUUUAAGGCAACCUUUUGCCUUACGAAGUGUCAUAUAAUAACACUUUUAACUCAGUCAAUUAUUAUACUUAUCAAACGAAAUGUAAUUUGAUUAUGAACACGUACCGGACCAUUUUUACCAUUUUACGCGACAUAUUAGUCUAACUGCAAGUUUAUAUUUGUAGGAUUGCAAUAGCAAAUAUUUUAUAAGUAAAUUGUAAAACUGCGACUGUAUGUAAUUUUACAGUAACUUAACAAUUGAACAUCUUGGACAUCGUGUCUUUGCAAAAAUGGAAAUAGCGCAGCUAUCAUUUCGAUGAAGUAGUACUUAAUUAAUUUCCACGCGAUCCAAAAAUAACGAAGCAGUGAGAGUCCGAUUUCUUUCGAGGAGCGUAUCAUUGUCAUAUAUAGUUAAGCAAGCAGCGCAUGACAUAAUUAUAUAUACAUAUACCUAUAUUUUUAUAACAAUGGUUUGAGACUCCUACGUGGGAUGCCAUUAUGUAUAUUUUAUGCGCGAAAUAAAGGAAACACCUUUGCAAGAA